UACGUAGGGUGCGAGCGUUAAUCGGAAUUACUGGGCGUAAAGCGUGCGCAGGCGGUUUUGUAAGCCAGAUGUGAAAUCCCCGGGCUUAACCUGGGAAUGGCAUUUGGGACUGCAAGGCUGGAGUGUGGCAGAGGAGACUGGAAUUCAUGGUGUAGCAGUGAAAUGCGUAGAGAUCAUGAGGAAGACCAGUGGCGAAGGCGGGUCUCUGGACAGUUCCUGACACUGAGACACGAAGGCCAGGGGAGCAAACGGG
rnacentral:rRNA from 1 species